rnacentral:rRNA from 1 species
GACGAACGCGGCGGCGUGCUUAACACAUGCAAGUCGAACGAAGAGCGAUGGAAGCUUGCUUCUAUCAAUUUAGUGGCGAACGGGUGAGUAACGCGUAAUCAACCUGCCCUUCAGAGGGGGACAACAGUUGGAAACGACUGCUAAUACCGCAUACGAUCUAACCUGGCAUCGAGGAUGGAUGAAAGGUGGCCUCUAUUUAUAAGCUAUCACUGAAGGAGGGGAUUGCGUCUGAUUAGCUAGUGGAGGGGUAACGGCCCACCAAGGCGAUGAUCAGUAGCCGGUCUGAGAGGAUGAACGGCCACAUUGGGACUGAGACACGGCCCAGACUCCUACGGGAGGCAGCAGUGGGGAAUCUUCCGCAAUGGACGAAAGUCUGACGGAGCAACGCCGCGUGAGUGAUGACGGCCUUCGGGUUGUAAAGCUCUGUUAAUCGGGACGAAAGGCCUUCUUGCGAAUAGUAGAAGGAUUGACGGACCGAAUAGAAAGCC